AUGAACGCUAGCUACAGGCUUAACACAUGCAAGUCGAGGGGCAGCAUGUUGGUUGCUUGCAACCAAUGAUGGCGACCGGCGCACGGGUGAGUAACGCGUAUCCAACCUUCCCCUUAGUAGAGGAUAGCCCGGCGAAAGUCGGAUUAAUACUCUAUGUUCUUCAAUGCGGGCAUCUAAGUUGAAGCAAAGAUUUAUCGCUAAGGGAUGGGGAUGCGUCUGAUUAGGUUGCAGGCGGGGUGACGGCCCACCUGGCCUACGAUCAGUAGGGGUUCUGAGAGGAAGGUCCCCCACACUGGUACUGAGACACGGACCAGACUCCUACGGGAGGCAGCAGUGAGGAAUAUUGGUCAAUGGGCGCGAGCCUGAACCAGCCAAGUAGCGUGCAGGACGAACCUGCCCUAUGGGUUGUAAGCUGCUUUUAUCAGGGAAUAAAGUGAGGCACGCGUGCCUUUUUGUAUGUACCUGAUGAAUAAGGACCGGCUAAUUCCGUGCCAGCCGCAGC
rnacentral:rRNA from 1 species